UACGUAGGGCGCAAGCGUUGUCCGGAAUUAUUGGGCGUAAAGAGCUCGUAGGCGGCUUGUCACGUCGGGUGUGAAAGCCCGGGGCUUAACCCCGGGUCUGCAUUCGAUACGGGCAGGCUAGAGUGUGGUAGGGGAGAUCGGAACUCCUGGUGUAGCGGUGAAAUGCGCAGAUAUCAGGAGGAACACCGGUGGCGAAGGCGGGACUCUGGGCCGAUACUGACGCUGAGGAGCGAAAGCGUGGGGAGCGAACAGG
rnacentral:rRNA from 1 species